ACUCAACCGAAAGCCUGCAGAGAGCAGAACAUGGAAGGAGACUUCUCGGUGUGCAGGAACUGUAAAAGACAUGUAGUCUCUGCCAACUUCACCCUCCAUGAGGCUUACUGCCUGCGGUUCCUGGUCCUGUGUCCGGAGUGUGAGGAGCCUGUCCCCAAGGAAACCACGGAGGAGCACUGCAAGGUGGAGCACCAGCAGGUUGGGUGUACGAUGUGUCAGCAGAGCAUGCAGAAGUCCUCGCUGGAGUUUCAUAAGGCCAAUGAGUGCCAGGAGCGCCCUGUUGAGUGUAAGUUCUGCAAACUGGACAUGCAGCUCAGCAAGCUGGAGCUCCACGAGUCCUACUGUGGCAGCCGGACAGAGCUCUGCCAAGGCUGUGGCCAGUUCAUCAUGCACCGCAUGCUCGCCCAGCACAGAGAUGUCUGUCGGAGUGAACAGGCCCAGCUCGGGAAAGAAACCAGUCCUGAUCCAGGAAAAUGUCUCUCCAUUACGGUUGCUGCUGCCCUGAGUGCACAUCUGUGGCCAUAAAGGAAAUGAUGUGGGUGAUUCGGCCAAGAGUUGCCUGUGUGGUCAAGGAUGCCGGCAGCGCAGGAAAGUCAAGACCAGGGGAAAGAAUUUCAGCUCCUGAAAGGGAAAUCUACUGUCAUUAUUGCAACCAAAUGAUUCCAGAAAAUAAGUAUUUCCACCAUAUGUCAAGUUGCUGAAAAUCAAACUUCCACGAUGGAGAAAGAUGUUCGUCCAAAGACAAGAAGUAUAAAUAGAUUUCCUCUUCAUUCUGAAAGUUCAUCAAAGAAAGCACCAAGAAGCAAAAACAAAACCUUGGAUCCACUUUUGAUGUCAGAGCCCAAGCCCAGGACCAGCUCCCCUAGAGGAGAUAAAGCAGCCUAUGACAUUCUGAGGAGAUGUUCUCAGUGUGGCAUCCUGCUUCCCCUGCCGAUCCUAAAUCAACAUCAGGAGAAAUGCUGGUGGUUAGCUUCAUCAAAAGGAAAACAAGUGAGAAAUUUCAGCUAGAUUUGGAAAAGGAAAGGUGCUACAAAUUCAAAAGAUUUCACUUUUAACACUGGCUUUCCUGCCUACUUGCUGUGGUGGUUUUGUGAAAAGUGAUGGGUUUUAUUCGUUGGGCUUUAAAAGAAAAGGUUUGGCAGAACUAAAAACAAAACUCACGUAUCAUCUCAAUAGAUACAGAAAAGGCUUUUGAUAAAAUUCAACUUGACUUCAUGUUAAAAACCCUCGACAAACCAGGCAUUGAAGGAACAUACCUCAAAAUAAUAAGAGCCAUCUAUGACAAAACCACAGCCAACAUCAUACUGAAUGAGCAAAAGCUGGAGCAUUACCCUUGAGAAGUAGAACAAGGCACUUCAGUCCUAUUCAACAUAGUACUGGAAGUCCUCACCACAGCAAUCAGGCAAGAGAAAGAAAUAAAAGGCAACCAAAAAGAGAGGAAGUCGAAGUAUCUCUGUUUGCCGACGAUAUGAUUCUAUAUCUAGAAAACCCCAUGAUCUUGGCCCAAAAGCUCCUAGAUCUGAUAAACAACUUCAGCUAACUUUCAGGAGACAAAAUCAAUAUACAAAAUACAGUAGCAUUUUUAUACACCAACGACAUCCAAGCUGAGAGCCAAAUCAAGAAUGCAAUCCUAUUCACAAUUGCCACAAAAAGAAUAAAAUACCUAGGAAUACAGCUAACCAGGGAGAUGAAAGAUCUCUACAACAAAAAUUACAAAACACUGCUGAAAGAAAUCAGAGAUGACACAAAUGGAAAAACAUUCCAUGCUUAUGGAUAGGAAGAAUCAAUAUUGUUAAAAUGGCCAUACUACCCAAAGCAAUUUAUAGAUUCAAUGCUAUUCCUAUCAAACUACCAAUAACAUUCUUCACAGAAUCAGAAAAAAAAGCAUUAAAAUUUAUUUGAAACCAAAAAAGAGCCCCAAAAGCCAAAGCAAUCCUAAGCAAAAAGAACAAAGCUGGAGGCAUCGCAUUACCCAACUUCAAACUAUACUACAGGGCUACAGUAACCAAAACUGCAUGAUACUGGUACAAAAGCAUGGUACUGGUACAAAAGCAGACACAUAGAUCAAUGGAACAGAAUAGAGAGCCCAGAAAUAAAGCUACACACCUACAACCAUCUAAUCUUUGACAAAGUUGACAAAAAUACGCAAUGGGGAAAGAAUUCCCCAUUCAGUAAGUGGUACUGGGAUAACUAGCUAGCCAUAUGCAGAAGAUUGAAACUGAACCACUUCCUUACACCAUAUGCAAAAAUCAACUCAAGAUGGAUUAAAGACUUAAAUGUAAAACCCCAAACUAUAAAAACUCUGGAAGAUAACCUAGGCAAUACCAUUCUGGACAUAGGAACGGAAAAAGAUUUCAUGACAAAGAUCCCAAAAAUAAUUGUAACGAAAGCAAAAAUUGACAAAUGGGACAUGAUUAAACAGAACUACCAUUUGACUCAGCAAUCCCAUUAUUGGUUAUAUACCCAAAGGAAUCUAAAUCAUUCUGUCAUAAAGAAAUAUAUACACAAAUGUUCACGGCAGCACUAUACACAAUCGCAAAGUCAGGGAAUCAAACUAAAUGUCCAUCAGUGGUAGAAAGGAUAAAGAAAAUGUGGUGGCAGGGAGUGGUGGCUCAUGUCUGUAAUCCCAGCACUUUGGGAGGCUGAGGCGGGUGGUUCACCUGAGGUCAGGAGUUUGAGACCAGCCUGGCCAACAUGGCGAAACUCCGUCUCCACUAAAAAUACGAAAAUUAGCCAGGCGUGGUGGCAAGCGCCUGUCAUCCCAGCUACUUGGGAGGCCUAGGCGUAAGAAUCGCUUGAACCUGGAAGGUGGUGGUUGCAGUGAGCCGAGAUCCUGCCACUGCACUCCAGCCUGGGCAACCAAGCGAGACUCUGCCUUAAAAAAAAAAAAAAGAAAAUGUGGCACAUAUACACCAUGGAAUACUAUGCAUCCAUAAAAAAGAAUGGGAUCAUGUCCUGUGCAGCAACAUGGAUGGAGCUGGAAGCCAUUAUCCUAAAUGAACUCACUCAGAAACAGAAAACCAAAUACCACAUGUUCUCACUUAUAAGUAGAAGCUAAACAUUGAGUACACAUGGAUACAAAGAAGGGAACCGCAGACACUGGGGCCUACCUGAGGUUGGAGCAUGGAAGGAGGGUGAGGAUCAAAAAACUACCUAUCUGGUACUAUGCUUUUUAUCUGGAUGAUGAAAUAAUCUGUACAACAAACCCUGGUGACAUGCAAUUUACCUAUAUAGCAAGCCUACACACGUGCCCCUGAACCUAAAAAAAAAGUUAAAAGAAAAACGUUUGGAUUAUUUUCCCUCUUUCGAACAAAGACAUUGGUUUGCCCAAGGACUACAAAUAAACCAACGGGAAAAAAGAAAGGUUCCAGUUUUGUCUGAAAAUUCUGAUUAAGCCUCUGGGCCCUACAGCCUGGAGAACCUGGAGAAUCCUACACCCACAGAACCCGGCUUUGUCCCCAAAGAAUAAAAACACCUCU
rnacentral:lncRNA from 1 species